rnacentral:rRNA from 1 species
GAUGAACGCUAGCGGCAGGCUUAAUACAUGCAAGUCGUGGGGCAGCAGGUCUGUAGCAAUACAGAUGCUGGCGACCGGCAAACGGGUGCGGAACACGUACACAACCUUCCUUUAAGUGGGGAAUAGCCCGGGGAAACCCGGAUUAAUACCCCGUAACAUAUAGAAGUGGCAUCGCUUUUAUAUUAUAGCAGCAAUGCGCUUGAAGAUGGGUGUGCGGCUGAUUAGAUAGUUGGCGGGGUAACGGCCCACCAAGUCGACGAUCAGUAACUGGUGUGAGGGCACGACCAGUCACACGGGCACUGAGACACGGGCCCGACCCCUACGGGAGGCAGCAGUAAGGAAUAUUGGUCAAUGGACGCAAGUCUGAACCAGCCAUGCCGCGUGGAGGAUGAAGGUCCUCUGGAUUGUAAACUUCUUUUAUUUGGGAAGAAAUCUAUCUUUUCUUGGAUAGUUGACGGUACCAGAUGAAUAAGCACCGGCUAACUCCGUGCCAGCCGCCGCAGUAAUAC